CACACCCUACGGGAGGCAGCAGUGGGGAAUAUUGGGCACUGGACGCACGUCUGACCCAGCAACGCCGCGUGAAGGAAGAAGGCUUUCGGGUUGUAAACUUCUUUUAAGGGGGAAGAGCAGAAGACGGUACCCCUUGAAUAAGCCACGGCUAACUACGUGCCAGCAGCCGCGGUAAUACGUAGGUGGCAAGCGUUGUCCGGAUUUACUGGGUGUAAAGGGCGUGCAGCCGGAGAGACAAGUCAGAUGUGAAAUCCACAGGCUCAACCCGUGAACUGCAUUUGAAACUGUUUCCCUUGAGUGUCGGG
rnacentral:rRNA from 1 species